AAACCUACUCAAGUAAUUUUACUUGGAUAUGAAGGAAGAAUACUUUUUUAAAUAAGGAGUUCUCCUUUGAAAUUGAUUAGCAGAUGGUAUAAAAUCCUGACGUUGCAAGAUUUUUAUCUUUCGAAGGUGAUUUUAUUAAAAAAUAUUAUCUUGCUUUAAAUCCAUUUAUUGGCAUAAUAUAUAUAGUUAUGUUUGUAUUCAAAUAUACUAGAUAUUGUUGACAGUAAAUAAUUCAUUUUUAUA
rnacentral:misc_RNA from 1 species